rnacentral:lncRNA from 1 species
UUUUUUUUUUAUUGCUGAUUCAAUUUCUUUGCUUGUUAUUGGUCUGUUCAAAUUUCCUAUUUCUUCCUGUUUCAGUUUUGGUAGUUUAUGUGUUUCUAGGAAUUAAUCCAUUUCUUCUAGGUUGUCCUAUUUGUUGGCAUACAGUUUUUCAAAAUAUUCUCAUAUAAUUUUUUGUAUUUCUGUGGUGUUGAUUGUUAUUUUUCAUCUCUAUUUAUGGUUUUACUUUUUUGAAUCCUUUCUUUUAUUAUUUCCUUGAUGGCUCUGACUAGAGGUUUAUAAAUUUUAUUGAUUUUUUCAAAGAGCCAGUUCCUGGUUUCAUUAAUGUGUUCUAUUGCUUUUUUGUAGUUUCUAUAUCAUUUAUUUCUGUUCUAAUCUUUAUUAUUUUCUUCCUUUGGCUGGUUUUAGGUUUUGUUUGUUUUUCUUGCAGGGCUGAGUUAGUGGUCAUGAAAUCCUUUAGUUUUUGUUUAUCUGGGAAACUCUUUAUCUCUCCUAUUCUGAAUGACAGCCUUGCUAGGUAGAGUAUUCUUGGCUGCAGAUUUUUCCCAUUCAGCACCUUGAAUAUAUCAUUCCACUUUCUCCUGGCCUGCAGAAUUUCUGUUGAAAAAUCCCCUAUAACCUUAUGAGUUUUCCCUUGGCAUUUAUGGAUUUCUUUUGUCUUGCUGAUUUUAAGAUUUUUUUUCUUUAUCAAUAUUAUUUUCCCAGUUUAAUUACAAUAUGUCUUGGUGUUGGCCUGCUUUUGUUAAUUUUGAUAGACGUUCUUUGUAUGUCCUGGAUCUGAAUAGGUGUUUCCUUCCCCAAAUUAGGGACGUUUUCAGCUAUUCUUUCUUUAGAUAAAUUUUCUGUCCCCUUUUCUCUCUCUUCUCCUGGGACUCCUUAACACAAAGGUCAUUAUGCUCGAUGCCUAUCUUAUUGUUUGAGCUCCCUAAAUCUAUUCUCAUUUUGCUUUUUUUUUCUCUCUCUCUCUCUCUUCUGUUCAGCUUGAUUACUUUCCAUAAUUCUGUAUUCUAGGUCACUAAUUCAUUCCUCUGCUUCUUCCAGCCUACUGUUCAUUCCAUCAAGAGUAUUCUUCAUUUUAUUUAUUGAGCCCUUUAUCUCUGCUAUGUUAUUCCUUAUCUCUGUAUUAAGGGUCUCACUUUUCUGUCUUCUACUCUCUUUAAGGACUAUGACCCAGCUAUCCCUUGCCCUUGGGCUUGCCCACUGCUGAGUCAGCUGACUUUAAAGCUCUGGGCUUCAAACCCCACUGGCUUUAAACACUCAUGGAAUUGCAGAUCCCUGGGUGGCGCAGCGGUUUGGAGCCUGCCUUUGGUCCAGGGCGUGAUCCUGGAGUCCCGGGGUUGAGUCCCACAUCAAGCUCCCUGCAUGGAGCCUGCUUCUCCCUCUGCCUGUGUCUCUGCCCCUCUCUCUGUGUGUGUCUCUCAUGAAUGAAUAAAAUCUUAAAAAAAAAAAA